rnacentral:rRNA from 1 species
AUUGAACGCUGGCGGCAGGCCUAACACAUGCAAGUCGAGCGGAUGACGGGAGCUUGCUCCUUGAUUCAGCGGCGGACGGGUGAGUAAUGCCUAGGAAUCUGCCUGGUAGUGGGGGACAACGAUUCGAAAGGAACGCUAAUACCGCAUACGUCCUACGGGAGAAAGCAGGGGACCUUCGGGCCUUGCGCUAUCAGAGGAGCCUAGGUCGGAUUAGCUAGUUGGUGGGGUAAUGGCUCACCAAGGCGACGAUCCGUAACUGGUCUGAGAGGAUGAUCAGUCACACUGGAACUGAGACACGGUCCAGACUCCUACGGGAGGCAGCAGUGGGGAAUAUUGGACAAUGGGCGAAAGCCUGAUCCAGCCAUGCCGCGUGUGUGAAGAAGGUCUUCGGAUUGUAAAGCACUUUAAGUUGGGAGGAAGGGAAGUAAGUUAAUACCUUGCUGUUUUGACGUUACCGACAGAAUAAGCACCGGCUAACUCUGUGCCAGCAGCCGCAGUAAGAC